UUACUCCCUUCCUCUAAAACCCUAUACCCAUCCACCGCCGCCGCCAACCCCUAUCACCUCCUCCUCCGAAACCCUAGCCAUGGCAUGGCGCGGCGCCGCCUCCCGCAUCGUCCUCGCCGCCGUGCGCCGCCCGACGUCCGCUGCGCGCCUCCGUGCCCCACCUCCGCUGGCUGCCCCGCGCCGCCGCGCCCCGUCCGCCUUCGCCACCUCCUCCGUCGCGGCCGCGCGGCCGCUGGCGGCGAUGAUGGGGUCGCCCGUGACAGUGGCGGCGGUGAUGGCGCGACUCACGGCGCACCCGGCGGCGAGCGCGCGGGCGUGCUGCGAGCUCUCCCAAGGGAAGAGUGGGAAAGAUGGUUGAUGUUGGAGGCUGCACAGCUUGACGGGGACCUUGUGUCCUAGAAAUAUUUGGGAUUUGUUAGGGAAUGGAAAAGAUGGGUGAUGCAAGGCCAGUAUACAGCAUGUCAAAGGUGCUGAUUUUGAAGCAUGCACUCCCUUUGGUACUUGAAGUCACCUUGUAGAUUCUGUCCUUUCGAAAGGAUGCAACUCUCCUUGGAUUUGUCUUUUGGAAAGCUAUUGUGGUGUUUCAUCAUUUUUAACUGCAAAGCCAGAAUGAUCGCUCCAGCAGUAGCCAGUUCCUCUUUUAUGUUUACUAGACUUAACUGAAAUAAUUUUUUAUGUUACAUGGCAUGGUGCCCAUGGAUUUAUUAUCUUUUCUUUUUUUUCGUUGUGCGAUAUCAUACUACUAUCUGCUGAUGUUGUGGUGUCAAUUUUUUUGAUUGACCUGAGCUAUAUGAUAUAUGUGUGACUGUCUUUGUAUAUCCGCAUCAGAUGUUUAAUAUGCAUCGUCAAUUGCUGAAUUUCCAGUUUGAA